CCAGUGGCCGAAGGGCGCCUUCUCUGAUCUUGUAACUUGCAAUGUACGGCGCCGAAAGCCUGGGGAGCCAAACCAGGAUUAGAUUAUCCUGGUAAUUUCCCCCCCGUAAACCAUGAGAUGCUAAAUGGUAAGAAGGGUUUUCCUCCCUUUUAGUUCCUGAAAGUUAACCGCAUUUAACCACUCCCCCCCGGGGGAGGUACCGCCGGCAAAGGCUUGAAACUCAAAAGGAAAUUGACGGGGGGCCCCCCCAACCGGUGGAAGCAUUUGGGUUUAAUUUGAAGCAACGCGAAGAACCCUUCCAGGUCUUGGCAUUCUUUGGCAAACCUAAAAAAAGGGCUUUUCCUUCGGGAGCAGGGUGACAGGUGGUGCAUGGUUGUCGUCAGCUCGUUUCGUGAGAUGGUGGGUUAAGUCCCCGCAACGAGCGCCACCCUUGAUUUUAGUUUCCCUUCAUUUAGUUGGGCACUUUAAGGUGACCGCCGGUGGCAAACCCGAGGAAGGUGGGGAUGACGUCAAAUCAUCAUUCCCCCUAUGGCCUGGGCUACCCCCGUUCUUCAAUGGGCGGUACAAAGAGCUGCAAGACCGCGAGGUGGAACUAAUCUCAUAAAACCGUUCUCAGUUCGGAUUGUAGGCUGCAACUUGCCUUCCUGAAGCCGGAAUCGCUAGUAAUCGCGGGUCAACCUUGCGCGGGGAAUUCGUUUCCGGGCCUUGUUCCCCCCCGCCGUCCCCCCCCGGAGGAGUUUG
rnacentral:rRNA from 1 species